CCGGGGCGCAGGGCCCGAGGCGGCCCCAGGGAGACCCCGGCCCCCCCACUCCGGCGCCGCGUGCAUCCGGGGCCCCGGCCGGCCGGUGACGUCAGCGCUAUAAAGGCCUGCAGCGCCUUUGUUCGCUCUCAUUGCGCAGUUGCGGCACGGCGGGAGCGGGGGUCAUUCGUGGCAUCAAAAUGGUUGAAGCAGAUCGUCCUGGAAAACUGUUCAUCGGGGGCCUGAACACAGAGACAAAUGAAAAAGCCCUUGAGGCUGUAUUUGGCAAAUAUGGACGCAUUGUGGAAGUCCUCUUGAUGAAAGAUCGUGAAACCAACAAGUCCAGAGGGUUUGCAUUUGUAACGUUCGAGAGUCCAGCAGACGCAAAAGAUGCUGCCAGAGACAUGAAUGGAAAGUCAUUAGAUGGGAAAGCAAUUAAAGUGGAACAAGCAACCAAGCCCUCCUUUGAAAGUGGUGGUAGGCGUGGGCCGCCACCCCCUCCACGAAGCAGAGGUCCUCCCAGGGGCCUUAGAGGUGGAAGAGGCGGAAGUGGCGCAAGAGGACCACCUUCAAGAGGGAGUCACUUGGGGUCUUCUCGAGGACCACUUCCCAUGAAGAGAGGUCCACCUCCACGAAGUGGAGGCCCUCCACCUAAAAGAUCCGCACCUUCAGGACCAGUGCGUAGCAGUAGUAUGGGAGGAAGAGCUCCUGUGUCACGUGGAAGAGACAGUUAUGGUGGUCCUCCACGCAGAGAACCGAUGCCAUCACGAAGAGAUGUCUACAUGUCUCCAAGAGAUGAUGGCUACAGCACUAAAGACGGUUACUCAAGCAGAGAUUAUCCCAGUUCCAGGGAUACAAGGGACUAUGCGCCACCUCCACGGGACUAUGCAUAUCGUGAUUAUGGUCAUUCCAGUUCACGUGAUGAAUACCCCUCGAGGGGCUAUAGUGAUCGUGACGGAUACGGUGGUGGACGUGACAGAGACUACUCCGAUCAUCCAAGUGGAGGAUCCUACAGAGAUUCAUAUGAGAGUUAUGGGUGAUAAUUUCUAGAAGAUGACACUGAAGUAACGCUGGUUCGUCUGUGGAUGGCAGACGUGAGUGGUGCCUGUACUAAUAGAACAGACUAGAAGAAGGCAGUGCAGCAGUGGAUAUGCUUGGAAAAGCGAAGGAUAAUAUAAAGCAGCCGACAAAACUUGUCUUUUGACCAUGGUGUUACCCAGUAUUUGUUUUAGAGGGUUGUGUUACCAUUCAGGGUAUUGCCUAGUGCUACUAAUCUCUUGGAUACAAAAACUGUUCAGAUAGGUGGAAAUCAGUUAUUGUCUCUUGCAGCGAACAUCUUCCAGGAGUCUCAGCGUACAUGCAUCAGUAGAUUGUGCAGCAGAAAAAUAAUCCAGGGUAUUUACAUGCAGUGUUUUCCCUCUCUGAUGAAAAAUAGCCAGUUAUAUGAAAGUAAGUUGUAGUCACCUAAAUUGCAAAGGACUAAAUUGCUGCAAAUUCUACCUCACAAAGAAACCGUCAGAAGUUUUACAGUAUUCUUACAUUAACAGUUUUAUAAUUGUCCAAGCCUUCUGGAUUAGAGUAAGAAAGUGUUCAGGUACUGAGGUGAUGUUAGUGAUAAAUCUCGAGAAUGAUCUGUUUUUGCGUGUACUAGGUUCUUACAGAACUCCACCCAGCAGUGCAUCUCUUAACAGGUGUAGAAUUCCAUAGAAACGAUGUUUUCUUCAGAAUAUUUUCUUGGUUUUGAUGCAUUUUUGUCCUAAAUAUGUGUUGAUGUGCCAAUGUAUGUGAGAGUAAUCCUCAGGCAUUGGUAUGUCAUACAGAAAACUAACUAAUUAGUCGUGGCUAACACAGUUUAUAGUAUUUCAACAGUAGACAAACUUUUUUCAUUUAAACAGUUCUGUUACUAAUGAGUAGCUAAGAAAGAAAAAGCAUUUAUACCCUUUCUAGGCAUUUAAAACUAUCUUAUUUUUUUGGUAUAAGAGUAUCACUAAACUUCGGUUACAGACUGCAGACUCUAGUAGUAAGUCUGCCUGUAUAUAGCACGUAGGUAUAAUAACAAUAUUUUCCAGGGCUAAUAAAUAAGCAGUUAAAUAAAAGCAUUGUGUGUUUGUUCUUAAGAAAAUCAGUUACUCAGCUACACUUGCAUAGUAGAAGUGUUUACCAACAAGUACUUCGUAGUGGUGGUGUACUGUUAAGAUGUGGUCUGUGGUCUCAGAGAACUUACCUUACUUUGAAAAGAAGCGGUCAUACUCUGUAACAGUAAGAAGACUUCUUUUUCAGCAGUAGCUUACAGUCUUGAGUACUGCUCUUCAGGCUAAACCAGAUUAUAAUUGAAAGCUAAUGCCAACGUAUGAGUUGUAUGAAAGAAGAUUCAUAUGUACUGGAAAUGUUACAUAAUUCACAUCACUGGUGUAUUCUCAUUAGCUCAUGUGCUGUGUUUCAGACUUCAUUGAAAAUCAAUGGCUUAAAUGUAAAGCAUUGUUGGGUGUUUUCUUCUAUGCCGAAAAAAGAGAGUUACGUAAAAGUGACUUGUGUACACACACUAGAAUGUUUUCUUGAUGUCUGAACAAUGUUCUCAAAUUGCUCCUGUUACUGAUUGUAUAUGCUGUUUGUUAAUUUGAUCUAGACCUCCUCCUUCCUUUAAAACAAAACAAAAAAUCUAAUACUGUAAUAUAGUCGUUAUUGGUGUAAAUCAGGCUGCAAAUAAAAGCUUGUUGGUAACUUGGGGGUAGAGGUUGACUCUGCAAGGGAUGGUAGACAAUUCAUUUGUUUUGUUCCUCUUAAGUAAGUAAUCAAUGUUGAAGCUUUUUCCAAAGACCAGACAAGAAAUUGUUCCUUGCUUGGUGGGUGGUAUACUUUCAUAUCCUGGGUUCCGCAGCAGACCUAAUUCUACCGUGAGGGUAGGUGAACAAACUGGAAGAUUACUAAUUGGAUGCUGAUGAUUUUCUGAAAAGUUGGCUUUGAAGUGGCUUACCUGCAAUGUUUUAAAUUUGGGGGUUUUCUGAAUAUGUAAGAGGUCACCCUUUCAAGCUCUUGUUAAGUAUUCAAGAUGCAGGAAGUAUUUUCAUUUAAUUGUAGUUGAAACCAUUAGCACAAUACAUGCCUGGCUGCAACACAUGAAAACAGGCAUAAAUCUCUAAAACUGCCAAUCUAUGGGGAAAAAAAAAAGUUUGCUUUGGAGGAGAGAGUGAGUGAAGUAUUCUGUGUUCAGGUUUGUGACAUGGACUGUGAAGCAAGUGUGUAAUUCUCCAUCUACUGAAAUUGCUACGCACGUGAUCUCUUGCCUUAUAUAUCAGAAACUUGCUACGUUCUAAUUGGAUCACUGAAGUGGGUGUCUUCCAUAUGCAUACAUUGUUCCUAUACACAUAUGUUGACCCCAGUGGAUAAAUGAACGUUGCCAGUUGUCUUACCUACUAUAGGUAUGGUAAAAGAAGAAGCAAGCUAUGAACAUGGAGAUUGCCUGUAUUCAGUUCUACAGAGUAGUGCUCAGAAGAACCGUAAACCAAACCAACCAACCAACAGCAACAACAAAAACACACUAAAGGUCUUGUAAUUAAUUUGAAACAUUUUGCACACAUAUGGAUAGCUAUAGAUGCACAUUACCAGAUGGCGGUGUUUUGUGAUUUAGCUUCAGCCUGCUUUACUGUUCACACUGGCUGCUGCUAUGUGCUAUAUUUUCACACAACGUAGAACUCAUCUCCACAUCCUGUUAGAGGUCAAAAGUCUGUAUAAUCCUAAAAAGGCAAUGUUGAUUUCGUAUUGGUGGCUAUUAUAAGUGAUAAGUAGGUAGGUCCAAGUACCAAGCAUAAGACCUGGAAAAUGAAGAGACAAAGCCAUGCGUUUUCAUUGUAUGUAGUUUUUCACGUUGCUGUUCUAUUUCUCUCUAUGCCUCAAAUUACUGUGUAAGCAGUUUAGAAGAGCUGGUGUCUUGAAAGCAAUAACAAGGUUAGGGGUUGGUUUCGAAUAUUGUCAUUGAGAAGUUAUUGUCUCUGGGAUAAUUUGUUCCUGUUUUAUUGCUUUAAUCCAUGAUAUUCUAGUUAGGCAUCAUCAACUGAUGGGAAAAUUGCUUUAUUUUCUAUUUGUGCUGGUGCAAGCAGUUACAAAUGGCGAUUGCAAAAUGACUGGGCUCGUCUAAGUUAAUGUGGCCAAUAUUGAUGGUUAAUAUCUCCCAGUUCAGGGUGAAAAACUGAAACCACUUGUUCUUUAGACAGUAGAUCUUGAAGAGCUGGUAGGAAGUGCCAUUUUAAUAGGACAAGUAAAAUAGUUGGAAAUUUUCACUCUCAACGUUGGGUGACUUAGUUGUGAACUUUCAGACUUACCUGUGAUAUUUGUUUUGAGAGAUUACAUUUCAUGCAAAGAACCAUUUUGGAUUAUAUCUGUUUCUUACAUAAAACAGUUGAAAAAAAUAAUUUUUUUGUACAUUAAGUGCGUGAUCAUAAUUUAUUUUUAAAAAACAUCUUGAAAAUAGGUAACUAAAAUGGCAAUUUUACUAACAAGGCUUACUAGAGAAAAAGUUUAAAAGUGUUAUUCAAAGUUAGUGUAACGUUCCCCCCCAGUCACGUUUAGUGGGAAUUUCAAUUUAACUCUGUAAAUAUCUCAGUGUGUU